rnacentral:rRNA from 1 species
GACGAACGCUGGCGGCGUGCCUAACACAUGCAAGUCGAGCGAUUCUCUUCGGAGAAGAGCGGCGGACGGGUGAGUAACGCGUGGGUAACCUGCCCUGUACACACGGAUAACAUACCGAAAGGUAUGCUAAUACGAGAUAAUAUGCUUUUAUCGCAUGGUAGAAGUAUCAAAGCUCCGGCGGUACAGGAUGGACCCGCGUCUGAUUAGCUAGUUGGUAAGGUAACGGCUUACCAAGGCGACGAUCAGUAGCCGACCUGAGAGGGUGAUCGGCCACAUUGGAACUGAGACACGGUCCAAACUCCUACGGGAGGCAGCAGUGGGGAAUAUUGCACAAUGGGCGAAAGCCUGAUGCAGCAACGCCGCGUGAGCGAUGAAGGCCUUCGGGUCGCAAAGCUCUGUCCUCAAGGAAGAUAAUGACGGUACUUGAGGAGGAAGCCCCGGCUAACUACGUGCCAGCAGCCGCCGUAAUAC